UUACCCAUCACUAAAGAGAUAAAGAUGCCACCUUCUGAUAAUUCUGAUGGGAAUGCUGACCAAGAAUCCGAGAAUGAAUCUAGAGGAAAUAACGGCCAGAAUAAGAUGCUUAGAAAAAGCUCAAAAAGUGCCAUGUGGACGACUUCACCUGUGAAAAGUAUUGGACCCAAGCCUGCUUAUUUGAGUUCAAAAGAGUCAGUCAAGAAGAAAGGCCUCCUUGCCCUUAUUUCAGAUAGACUGGACCAGCAAAUAAAACAGUACUGCUUUGAGAAAAGGUCCUUCUAUAGCACUAUAAUGCCUUCUCUGCCAGCUGCUUGAGAUCUCCAACACUCUUCGGAAACAGCUGCUGCCUUCAUCUCUGCUUCUCCACAUAUAUUCACUCUCUGCCUGGCUGGUUGAAAAGCUCGUGAGGAUCAUGGUUUUCCUGAAGCAAAAGAUCUGCUCGAUAUUGGCUUUUGUCACAAGGAAGAGAGGGCAAACAACCUCCAGGGUUAAAAGCUAAUGUUCUGGUCAAGGGAGACGUGCAAUACAGCAGCAGCUCCAGUAAAGAACCAAAGUAGGAAUGACGCAUGUCUGUACAAGUCAUGUCUUUGUGACUGGGCUGUUGAAGUAACAGUCAUUUAUUUGUCAUGGGGCUAUUGGAAAGUGUUGUCUCUAUCUGAGAUAAGGCAAUGCAUUUCUUUUAGGGUGUGUGUGUGUAUAUAUAUGUAUAAACAGCAUGCUUUUUGACAGCUCAGAUUUUUCCAUAAUGGAGCAAGUACUAGAAUCAAACGAUUAAGACCUAGACAAGAGUUUAUCUCACACCACACUAAUCAAAUCACAAUAAUAAUGCCUCUAGCAGAAAAAUGAGGCAAAAUCAUGGCCUAGUACAUACAUCAGCCUAAGAACUACUCCUUCCUUCAUCUUUUGUUCCCCACCCCCUGCUUUCUACAAUAUUUAAUUGUGGAACACUUUUAAAUGCAAGUAACUUUUUGAAAGAGUGUUAGGGAUAAUAUAGUAGAGCAUUUUGCCUUCUCUAGGUCUUGCUCUUCUGUUUCCUUCCUUGGCAGGCCCCUAUAAUGGAUACCAGCUGCUUUCUUCUUUACUGCCCUUGUUCCCAUGCCAGGUGACUACAAGAAGAUGCAACUGAGAUAAAGCAUCCCUGGUCCUACCCACUGUUGGUACAUCCUUUUCUGGGAGUACACAGGUAGUGAAAAUCGUAAAGCUAGUGUUCUAAACCUACCUCAUUUCUGUUGAAUCCAAGAAGAAUGAGCUAUGUGAGAUGGAUAUAACAUUCCUGAUCUCUUAAUUGUGGCUAACAGAAUGGGACAAACAAUGGGAGUCAUUCUGUCUUGCAGAACUCUUCAACAGAACUCAUUUCUGCUGUCUUGUGCAGGAGUCUUCUCUCUUUGUUCUGGAGCUUCUCAUAGCACACUGUUGUAUUUGCAAAGAUGUUGAGAGCUUUAAAGCAGAGACUGCAACCAGCAUGAGAAGCUGGUCUCCAUACUUGGGGUACUGCUAACCAUGAUUAGUGAUAACAUCUGUGCGGGUCUGAUGAAAGGGGAGGGGGAAAUGCACACAUACCCCAGACUCUUGCUUGCCUAACCAUAGUUAGGAAAUGUUACACUUGUACUGAAUGUAGAUGCUUGCUUUCAUGUUAACUUAAUGAAGAUAGCUAACCAGUUACUGUUGGAUGUUGUUUUUUUCAUGAAUUGGUAAGUGAAGAGUAAACAAGCUGUACCCAUGAUUUGAUAUAUUGCAGCUAUUAGUGGGGGCGGGGGGACCCAGUUUAGCUGCUGCUGAAUUAAAUCCAAUUUAUCCCACCAGAUUUAAAGUGCUUUAAACUAUGCAUAAAGGCAUGUCAAAUUUCCUCUCUGCUGCACUCAGUGUAAUUGUGAAUAGGGGUUUUUUUUUGGGGGGGGGGUAACUGUUAAUUUGACACUAGCUGCUUCUGAAAAACGGUCUGAGCAAGAGCCUAAAUAAAAUAACCUUUUCUUCACUGGCCUUUCAUUUAGCCUUUGUUACUCUGAAGCUUUCAGCUAAAUCUAGGUACUGUGUUUGGUACCUCUCGUUGAAGAGAGUCUCAGAGUUGUAUUGGUUGAAAUAAUUGAGGAGUUUCUUGUGAAAGAGUGAGGUAGUCAGGUCAUUGGACAUGGUGUAAAAGGAUGAAUGUCUUGCUCGGCCAUGAAGCUUAAGGGAUGGCUUGGAUAAGUAAUUUAUCUGGCUGCCUAAAAUUGUCCCCUGGAACUACUGUCUACCAUGUAGGGUUCCACCUCUGAGCUUACAAAGACAACUGAACCUUGCAGGAUGAAAAGCUGGGUCUGUGUAUGUGGUUUUUUCCUUCUACAAUUUAUUAAGGGAUGCGUAAGGAAAGGUUUGGCCCCAUCUCCCCACCUCCUGCCCAUUCUAAACGAAGCAGCUUUUCUUAGUUAAAAUCCUUGUGUUGAAUUAUAUGCUGUAGUGAAAGUCAGGCUUGAGAGAGGAUUAGGCCUUAAUUAGAGUAACUGCUUGGAUGCUGGGCUUUUCCAGAAGAAAGCCCAGGAAUAUAAAAUCCCUGUGGCCCAAUCCAGAGUGAGGGGCAGGGUUUACUGGACAACAGCCUACAGAGGAGCAGGGGAGGGAUGUGUUUGGGUUGAGUUCUUCCCUAGAGGCCUCUGAGUGAGUGAGCUCUGAUCAGCAACUACAGUACUGUAAGAAAAGGAGUCUGUCUAGGGUUGGGAAUCAACUGGAAACUUCUUACCUGGAAGUAAGUAGGAAGGAUAGCAACCAGUUUAGUUGCUAAAUUCCAUGUUGGGGAAUUUAUUUUUGUUUAAGUGCUUGGAUCUGAGUGCAUGAUUCUUUUAGUUCCUGGGGAAGAGUUCUAUGAGAAUGGAAGCAGCGAUUUAUUGAUGCCUCUAUAGCUCUCCUUAUCCAACUAUUAUUAGAUCCUUGUUAAAGAGUGUCACAACUUAUUGGGAAGGCGAAAAUUGAGUUUUCUGAAUAAACUUAUAACAGAUUUAA